rfam:Canis lupus familiaris chromosome X, whole genome shotgun sequence.
GCCUGGCUGGCUUGGUCAGUAGAGCAUGGGACUCUUGAUCCCGGGGUUGUGAGUUCAAGCCCCACAAUGGGCA